rnacentral:rRNA from 1 species
UAAUGAGGCGAACCGGGGGAACUGAAACAUCUAAGUACCCCGAGGAAAAGAAAUCAACCGAGAUUCCCCCAGUAGCGGCGAGCGAACGGGGAGGAGCCCAGAGCCUGAAUCAGUGUGUGUGUUAGUGGAAGCGUCUGGAAAGGCGCGCGAUACAGGGUGACAGCCCCGUACACAAAAAUGCACAUGCUGUGAGCUCGAUGAGUAGGGCGGGACACGUGGUAUCCUGUCUGAAUAUGGGGGGACCAUCCUCCAAGGCUAAAUACUCCUGACUGACCGAUAGUGAACCAGUACCGUGAGGGAAAGGCGAAAAGAACCCCGGCGAGGGGAGUGAAAAAGAACCUGAAACCGUGUACGUACAAGCAGUGGGAGCACGCUUAGGCGUGUGACUGCGUACCUUUUGUAUAAUGGGUCAGCGACUUAUAUUCUGUAGCAAGGUUAACCGAAUAGGGGAGCCGAAGGGAAACCGAGUCUUAACUGGGCGUUAAGUUGCAGGGUAUAGACCCGAAACCCGGUGAUCUAGCCAUGGGCAGGUUGAAGGUUGGGUAACACUAACUGGAGGACCGAACCGACUAAUGUUGAAAAAUUAGCGGAUGACUUGUGGCUGGGGGUGAAAGGCCAAUCAAACCGGGAGAUAGCUGGUUCUCCCCGAAAGCUAUUUAGGUAGCGCCUCGUGAAUUCAUCUCCGGGGGUAGAGCACUGUUUCGGCAAGGGGGUCAUCCCGACUUACCAACCCGAUGCAAACUGCGAAUACCGGAGAAUGUUAUCACGGGAGACACACGGCGGGUGCUAACGUCCGUCGUGAAGAGGGAAACAACCCAGACCGCCAGCUAAGGUCCCAAAGUCAUGGUUAAGUGGGAAACGAUGUGGGAAGGCCCAGACAGCCAGGAUGUUGGCUUAGAAGCAGCCAUCAUUUAAAGAAAGCGUAAUAGCUCACUGGUCGAGUCGGCCUGCGCGGAAGAUGUAACGGGGCUAAACCAUGCACCGAAGCUGCGGCAGCGACGCUUAUGCGUUGUUGGGUAGGGGAGCGUUCUGUAAGCCUGUGAAGGUGUGCUGUGAGGCAUGCUGGAGGUAUCAGAAGUGCGAAUGCUGACAUAAGUAACGAUAAAGCGGGUGAAAAGCCCGCUCGCCGGAAGACCAAGGGUUCCUGUCCAACGUUAAUCGGGGCAGGGUGAGUCGACCCCUAAGGCGAGGCCGAAAGGCGUAGUCGAUGGGAAACAGGUUAAUAUUCCUGUACUUGGUGUUACUGCGAAGGGGGGACGGAGAAGGCUAUGUUGGCCGGGCGACGGUUGUCCCGGUUUAAGCGUGUAGGCUGGUUUUCCAGGCAAAUCCGGAAAAUCAAGGCUGAGGCGUGAUGACGAGGCACUACGGUGCUGAAGCAACAAAUGCCCUGCUUCCAGGAAAAGCCUCUAAGCAUCAGGUAACAUCAAAUCGUACCCCAAACCGACACAGGUGGUCAGGUAGAGAAUACCAAGGCGCUUGAGAGAACUCGGGUGAAGGAACUAGGCAAAAUGGUGCCGUAACUUCGGGAGAAGGCACGCUGAUAUGUAGGUGAAGUCCCUCGCGGAUGGAGCUGAAAUCAGUCGAAGAUACCAGCUGGCUGCAACUGUUUAUUAAAAACACAGCACUGUGCAAACACGAAAGUGGACGUAUACGGUGUGACGCCUGCCCGGUGCCGGAAGGUUAAUUGAUGGGGUCAGCGCAAGCGAAGCUCUUGAUCGAAGCCCCGGUAAACGGCGGCCGUAACUAUAACGGUCCUAAGGUAGCGAAAUUCCUUGUCGGGUAAGUUCCGACCUGCACGAAUGGCGUAAUGAUGGCCAGGCUGUCUCCACCCGAGACUCAGUGAAAUUGAACUCGCUGUGAAGAUGCAGUGUACCCGCGGCAAGACGGAAAGACCCCGUGAACCUUUACUAUAGCUUGACACUGAACAUUGAGCCUUGAUGUGUAGGAUAGGUGGGAGGCUUUGAAGUGUGGACGCCAGUCUGCAUGGAGCCGACCUUGAAAUACCACCCUUUAAUGUUUGAUGUUCUAACGUUGACCCGUAAUCCGGGUUGCGGACAGUGUCUGGUGGGUAGUUUGACUGGGGCGGUCUCCUCCUAAAGAGUAACGGAGGAGCACGAAGGUUGGCUAAUCCUGGUCGGACAUCAGGAGGUUAGUGCAAUGGCAUAAGCCAGCUUGACUGCGAGCGUGACGGCGCGAGCAGGUGCGAAAGCAGGUCAUAGUGAUCCGGUGGUUCUGAAUGGAAGGGCCAUCGCUCAACGGAUAAAAGGUACUCCGGGGAUAACAGGCUGAUACCGCCCAAGAGUUCAUAUCGACGGCGGUGUUUGGCACCUCGAUGUCGGCUCAUCACAUCCUGGGGCUGAAGUAGGUCCCAAGGGUAUGGCUGUUCGCCAUUUAAAGUGGUACGCGAGCUGGGUUUAGAACGUCGUGAGACAGUUCGGUCCCUAUCUGCCGUGGGCGCUGGAGAACUGAGGGGGGCUGCUCCUAGUACGAGAGGACCGGAGUGGACGCAUCACUGGUGUUCGGGUUGUCAUGCCAAUGGCACUGCCCGGUAGCUAAAUGCGGAAGAGAUAAGUGCUGAAAGCAUCUAAGCACGAAACUUGCC